rnacentral:rRNA from 1 species
UGCAGCAAGGUUAAGGACUUAAGGUCUGGAGCCGAAGCGAAAGCGAGUUUGAAAAGGGCGUUAAGUUGCAUAUAAUGGGCCCGAAACCGGGUGACCUACCCAUGGUCAGGUUGAAGUGGAAGUAAAAUUCCAUGGAGGACCGAACCGACCUCCGUUGAAAAGGCGGCGGAUGAACUGUGGGUAGCGGAGAAAUUCCAAUCGAACCCGGAGAUAGCUGGUUCUCCCCGAAAUAGUUUUAGGACUAGCCUCAAGUUAGAUACCUGGAGGUAAAGCACUGAAUAGCCUAGCGGCCGAGAGGUUAGCGAAGCUUAUCAAACUCAGAAUGCCAGAGUAUUGAUGCUUGGGAGUCAGACAGUGUCAGAUAAAUGUCAUUGUCAAAAGGGAAACAGCCCAGAUCUACAGCUAAGGUCCCAAAGUCAGGUUAAGUGGAAAACGAUGUGAAGAUACGCAGACAACCAGGAUGUUGGCUCAGAAGCAGCCACUCAUUCAAAGAGUGCGUAAUAGCUCACUGGUCGAGCGUCUUUGCGCGGAGAAUUUAACGGGGCUAAACCUGACACCGAAGCUUAGGCAAUACAGCAAUGUAUUGGGUAGGGGAGCGUUGUAUACGCGGAGAAACAGUAGCGCAAGCGGCUGUGGAGUGUAUAGAAGUGAGAAUGCCGGAAUGAGUAGCGCGAAUGCAGUGAGAAUCUGCAUGGCCGAAAGCCUCAGGUUUCUGGAGGAAGGUUCGUCCGCUCCAGGUUAGUCGGGAGCUAAGGUGAGGCCGGAAGGCGUAGCCGAUGCACAGACGGUAGAGAUUCCGUCACCACCAAAAGAGUUAAGCACAGGGACACAUAUGAAGUCUCAGAGCCGGGUGUUGGUUCCGGUAGAGAUCGAGGGAAAUUAGUACCGAAGUCUGAGAUGGAAGAUGGCGAGAAAAGCUGUGUGUAUUUCUGAGGUGCCCGUACCGCAAACCGACACAGGUAGGUAGGAAGAAGAUUCUAAGGCCAACGGGAGAAGGGUUGUUAAGGAACUCGGCAAAUUGACCCCGUAACUUCGGGAGAAGGGGUGCUCCAGAGAUGGAGCCGCAGAGAAUCGGCCCAAGCAACUGUUUACCAAAAACACAGGUUUGUGCUAAAUCGAAAGAUGACGUAUACGAGCUGACGCCUGCCCGGUGCUGGAAGGUUAAGAGGAGAUGUGCAAGCAUUGAAUCGAAGCCCCAGUGAACGGCGGCCGUAACUAUAACGGUCCUAAGGUAGCGAAAUUCCUUGUCAGGUAAGUUCUGACCCGCAUGAAAGGCGUAAUGAUUUGGGCACUGUCUCAACAGCCCGCCCGGCGAAAUUGUAGUACCGGUGAAGAUGCCGGUUACCCGCGACAAGACGGAAAGACCCCAUGGAGCUUUACUGUAGCCUAAUAUUGGGUUUCGAUGUUGCAUGCACAGGAUAGAUGGGACUCUUGGAAACCAAGGCUUUGGCUUUGGCGGAGAGGCCGUUGGGAUACCAUCCUUGCGAUAUUGGAAUUCUAACCUGCGGCUCUGAAUCGAGUCGGGGGACAUGUUAGGUGGGCAGUUGACUGGGGCGGUCGCCUCCUAAAA